rnacentral:rRNA from 1 species
UACGUAGGGUGCGAGCGUUGUCCGGAAUUAUUGGGCGUAAAGAGCUCGUAGGCGGUUUGUCGCGUUGUUCGUGAAAACUCACAGCUCAACUGUGGGCGUGCGGGCGAUACGGGCAGACUGGAGUACUGCAGGGGAGACUGGAAUUCCUGGUGUAGCGGUGGAAUGCGCAGAUAUCAGGAGGAACACCGGUGGCGAAGGCGGGUCUCUGGGCCGUAACUGACGCUGAGGAGCGAAAGCAUGGGGAGCGAACAGG